GAUGAAGAACGCAGCGAAAUGCGAUGAGUAGUGUGAAUUGCAGAAUUCAGUGAAUCAUCGAAUCUUUGAACGCACAUUGCGCCCCUUGGUAUUCCAUGGGGCAUGCCUGUUCGAGCGUCAUUUGUACCUUCAAGCCUUGCUUGGUGUUGGGUGUUUGUCUCGCCUCUGCGCGCAGACUCGCCUCAAAACAAUUGGCAGCCGGCGUAUUGAUUUCGGAGCGCAGUACAUCUCGCGCUUUGCACUCACAACGGCGGCGUCCAAAAGUACAUUUUUACACUCUUGACCUCGGAUCAGGUAGGGAUACCGGCUGAACUUAAGCAUAUCAAUAAGCGGAGGA
rnacentral:misc_RNA from 1 species